UACGUAGGUGGCAAGCGUUGUCCGGAUUUACUGGGCGUAAAGAGCGCGCAGGCGGUCGUUCAAGUCGCGUGUGAAAUCUCCCGGCUCAACUGGGAAACUGCAUCGGAAACUGAUCGGCUUGAAGAUGGGAGAGGGUAGUGGAAUUCCCGGUGUAGUGGUGAAAUGCGUAGAUAUCGGGAGGAACACCAGUGGCGAAGGCGACUACCUGGCCCAUUCUUGACGCUGAGGCGCGAAAGCUAGGGGAGCAAACGGG
rnacentral:rRNA from 1 species